GCCCAGGUUGUUAACCCCCUAAUGGCAGCCUAGAUUGGCAACAAUUGGUUUAGGGCAUUGCAAAGCCAAAUAAAAACUCACUGAAAUUUGCUGAAUAAAUGCCAGCAGCAGCUGCAGGAGGCCGUAACACAGCAGGGAGGGCCUUGACGUGACGGAGAGCAAGACGCUGGAACGGCAGUGGUCUGUUGGGUUUAGAUCCCAAAAAGACACCCAAUAGCCCAGAAGACGGGGCAGAGAAAGCAGAGACUGGCCGUUUGCAACAGAGGAGCAUCUGUCCCCACGUGAACCGGCAGGAGGGCAUCAAUUUCCAGCGGCUUAUCAGCAGAAUGCUCUGACAUGCACUGAGUUUGAACGAACCGGUCAGUCGGGAUGAGGUGCACCUGAGGACUAACAUGUUACUACUGGCCUUUCCUACAGGUGAUGGCAAAGCUGAAGCUGCUGGUCCAGAGACCACCCUGUGAGCCACCAGAGCAGAGGAUGUGACCGCAAGAAGAGAACUGAGACUGCGUAAGGCUGACGGAGUGGGGCCAUGCCAUGCUUCUCCCCAAACCAGCGCCGGUUCCUGCAGAUCUAGCCAUCUCUAGGAAGUGCGCUCUCAGGACUGCACUGGGAGAGGUGCUGGUGCCUGGGCUCUGCAUAUGUCAUCCUCUCUGUUUAGCCUAGUGAGGGUAGAACGAGUGAAGAGAGAGGGAUUCAAGCUGGAACAAGGACUCAGAGGAAAGCGGGCGGAGAGACUGCUAUAGGGAACAAGCUAUGAAACUGCAGGCCCCAGGGAGGAGAUGCCAGCCCUCCACACGCAGCCUGCACGCAGAGGUCUAUCCAAGCUGAGCACCCCUCCCCCUGGACGAUCAAACUGGAGGGCACACACACCUGUCCCGAACUUCCUACUUCUGCCAAGCAGGGUCUUUUCUGACACUUGACUGUGGCCCACUUUUUCUGUGUUCUGUCUGUCUCGCUUAUUAUGAAGUCUGAGCAGAGGAAGCAAUUUUUUUCCCUCUUGUACUGUUAGGAACUAGGCAAAGCACUAAGGCGCACACUGGGUAUCUGCUAAAUACCUACGAGAACUGGCCUGCGAGUCCGGCUGUCUUCAUCUCAGUUCUCGGGGCGCGCACGGGCCAGGCUUUGCUUGGGUGCGUCUUUGCCCUCUGAGGACUCAAUUCCUUCCCAAAGCAAUAAGCUUUGCUACAAUCCAGGAACUGACUCUAGUACUUUUAAAAGUUCUGUUCAGCUCUAAGCGGCUAGAGUAGGGCCCCUGUGUCCUCCUCAUUUGCUGUCUGGUAUGAGGUUCCAAUGCAAGAUUCUGGGAGCAGGUAGUACUUCCCAAACCUGAAUUCUUCUCAGGAGCACUGCAUCUGCAUGCACAGCACGGUGCAGGAGGUGGGAUUUCAGCACAUAACCACCAGAUCUGGGGCUCUUCCAGCUGUCUUCUUGGCUAGGACUUCACAGUCCAUCUUGCACUGAAGGUUUUUGCUAAAAUUGCCUAAGGAAACUAGAGGAGUGAGCCCUGGCAGCAGAAAGGGGACUAAAAUAGAUGUUCUUCUUUUAAAAACCCACAGGCAACCAGGAGGCCAGAGAAAUAGAUUGACAGGGCCCACCUACAGAGACUCCAGUGGGGGAGGGACAGUGAAGGCUGGGGCAGCCUGGGAACUCAGGGCUCUGCCAUUCCCCGUUGGCCUAGAAUCCAGCC
ensembl:lncRNA